rnacentral:tRNA from 1 species
GGGGAAAUCGUCUAGUGGUAAGACACAGACUUUGCAACUCCUUCUUGCCAAUGUCUGCGACCGGUGUUCGAUUCACCGUUUCUCCA